rnacentral:rRNA from 1 species
UAAGCGACUAAGCGUACACGGUGGAUGCCCUGGCAGUCAGAGGCGAUGAAGGACGUGCUAAUCUGCGAUAAGCGUCGGUAAGGUGAUAUGAACCGUUAUAACCGGCGAUUUCCGAAUGGGGAAACCCAGUGUGAUUCGUCACACUAUCAUUAACUGAAUCCAUAGGUUAAUGAGGCGAACCGGGGGAACUGAAACAUCUAAGUACCCCGAGGAAAAGAAAUCAACCGAGAUUCCCCCAGUAGCGGCGAGCGAACGGGGAGCAGCCCAGAGCCUGAAUCAGUGUGUGUGUUAGUGGAAGCGUCUGGAAAGGCGUGCGAUACAGGGUGACAGCCCCGUACACAAAAAUGCACAUACUGUGAGCUCGAUGAGUAGGGCGGGACACGUGGUAUCCUGUCUGAAUAUGGGGGGACCAUCCUCCAAGGCUAAAUACUCCUGACUGACCGAUAGUGAACCAGUACCGUGAGGGAAAGGCGAAAAGAACCCCGGCGAGGGGAGUGAAAAAGAACCUGAAACCGUGUACGUACAAGCAGUGGGAGCACGCUUAGGCGUGUGACUGCGUACCUUUUGUAUAAUGGGUCAGCGACUUAUAUUCUGUAGCAAGGUUAACCGAAUAGGGGAGCCGAAGGGAAACCGAGUCUUAACUGGGCGUUAAGUUGCAGGGUAUAGACCCGAAACCCGGUGAUCUAGCCAUGGGCAGGUUGAAGGUUGGGUAACACUAACUGGAGGACCGAACCGACUAAUGUUAGAAAAAUUAGCGGAUGACUUGUGGCUGGGGGUGAAAGGCCAAUCAAACCGGGAGAUAGCUGGUUCUCCCCGAAAGCUAUUUAGGUAGCGCCUCGUGAAUUCAUCUCCGGGGGUAGAGCACUGUUUCGGCAAGGGGGUCAUCCCGACUUACAACCCGAUGCAAACUGCGAAUACCGGAGAAUGUUAUCACGGGAGACACACGGCGGGUGCUAACGUCCGUCGUGAAGAGGGAAACAACCCAGACCGCCAGCUAAGGUCCCAAAGUCAUGGUUAAGUGGGAAACGAUGUGGGAAGGCCCAGACAGCCAGGAUGUUGGCUUAGAAGCAGCCAUCAUUUAAGAAAGCGUAAUAGCUCACUGGUCGAGUCGGCCUGCGCGGAAGAUGUAACGGGGCUAAACCAUGCACCGAAGCUGCGGCAGCGACGCUUAUGCGUUGUUGGGUAGGGGAGCGUUCUGUAAGCCUGUGAAGGUGUACUGUGAGGUAUGCUGGAGGUAUCAGAAGUGCGAAUGCUGACAUAAGUAACGAUAAAGCGGGUGAAAAGCCCGCUCGCCGGAAGACCAAGGGUUCCUGUCCAACGUUAAUCGGGGCAGGGUGAGUCGACCCCUAAGGCGAGGCCGAAAGGCGUAGUCGAUGGGAAACAGGUUAAUAUCCUGUACUUGGUGUUACUGCGAAGGGGGGACGGAGAAGGCUAUGUUGGCCGGGCGACGGUUGUCCCGGUUUAAGCGUGUAGGCUGGUUUUCCAGGCAAAUCCGGAAAAUCAAGGCCGAGGCGUGAUGACGAGGCACUACGGUGCUGAAGCAACAAAUGCCCUGCUUCCAGGAAAAGCCUCUAAGCAUCAGGUAACAUCAAAUCGUACCCCAAACCGACACAGGUGGUCAGGUAGAGAAUACCAAGGCGCUUGAGAGAACUCGGGUGAAGGAACUAGGCAAAAUGGUGCCGUAACUUCGGGAGAAGGCACGCUGAUACGUAGGUGAAGCGACUUGCUCGUGGAGCUGAAAUCAGUCGAAGAUACCAGCUGGCCGCAACUGUUUAUUAAAACACAGCACUGUGCAAACACGAAAGUGGACGUAUACGGUGUGACGCCUGCCCGGUGCCGGAAGGUUAAUUGAUGGGGUUAGCGCAAGCGAAGCUCUUGAUCGAAGCCCCGGUAAACGGCGGCCGUAACUAUAACGGUCCUAAGGUAGCGAAAUUCCUUGUCGGGUAAGUUCCGACCUGCACGAAUGGCGUAAUGAUGGCCAGGCUGUCUCCACCCGAGACUCAGUGAAAUUGAACUCGCUGUGAAGAUGCAGUGUACCCGCGGCAAGACGGAAAGACCCCGUGAACCUUUACUAUAGCUUGACACUGAACAUUGAGCCUUGAUGUGUAGGAUAGGUGGGAGGCUUUGAAGUGUGGACGCCAGUCUGCAUGGAGCCGACCUUGAAAUACCACCCUUUAAUGUUUGAUGUUCUAACGUGGACCCGUAAUCCGGGUUGCGGACAGUGUCUGGUGGGUAGUUUGACUGGGGCGGUCUCCUCCUAAAGAGUAACGGAGGAGCACGAAGGUUGGCUAAUCCUGGUCGGACAUCAGGAGGUUAGUGCAAUGGCAUAAGCCAGCUUGACUGCGAGCGUGACGGCGCGAGCAGGUGCGAAAGCAGGUCAUAGUGAUCCGGUGGUUCUGAAUGGAAGGGCCAUCGCUCAACGGAUAAAAGGUACUCCGGGGAUAACAGGCUGAUACCGCCCAAGAGUUCAUAUCGACGGCGGUGUUUGGCACCUCGAUGUCGGCUCAUCACAUCCUGGGGCUGAAGUAGGUCCCAAGGGUAUGGCUGUUCGCCAUUUAAAGUGGUACGCGAGCUGGGUUUAGAACGUCGUGAGACAGUUCGGUCCCUAUCUGCCGUGGGCGCUGGAGAACUGAGGGGGGCUGCUCCUAGUACGAGAGGACCGGAGUGGACGCAUCACUGGUGUUCGGGUUGUCAUGCCAAUGGCACUGCCCGGUAGCUAAAUGCGGAAGAGAUAAGCGCUGAAAGCAUCUAAGCACGAAACUUGCCCCGAGAUGAGUUCUCCCUGACCCUUUAAGGGUCCUGAAGGAACGUUGAAGACGACGACGUUGAUAGGCCGGGUGUGUAAGCGCAGCGAUGCGUUGAGCUAACCGGUACUAAUGAACCGUGAGGCUUAACCU